rnacentral:rRNA from 1 species
AGAGUUUGAUUCUGGGUUCAGGAUGAACGUGGGCGGUGUGCCUAAUACAUGCAAGUCGAAACGGUGACGAUUUUGUAGCAAUACGAAUGAAAUCAUAGUGCGAAACGGGUGAGUAACGCGUGNGUGAUCUGCCUCGAAGUGUGGAAUAACUUCCCGAAAGGGUAGCUAAUACCGCAUAGUCUCCCAAGGUUUAGAAAAUUGAGAGUAAAGGAUUUAUUCGCUUCGAGAGGAGCCUGCGUCCCAUCAGCUAGUUGGUAGGGUAAUAGCCUACCAAGGCAAUGACGGGUAGGGGACCUGAGAGGGUGGCCCCCCACAAUGGAACUGAAACACGGUCCAUACACCUACGGGUGGCAGCAGUAAAGAAUAUUGCGCAAUGGGGGGAACCCUGACGCAGCAACGCCACGUGUGGGAAGAAGCAUUUCGGUGUGUAAACCACUGUCGAAAAGGAAUAAUAGAAGAUUUCGGUCUUUUUGAAUGUACUUUUAAUAGGAAGCACCGGCAAACUUCGUGCCAGCAGCCGCGGUAAUACGAGGGGUGCAAGCGUUGUUCGGAAUUACUGGGCGUAAAGGGAGCGUAGGCGGAGCUUCAAGCAAUCUGUAUAAUCCUGGGGCCCAACCCCAGUCCUGCAGAUUGGACUGUAGCUCUUGAAUAGUUCAGAGGCAAGCGGAAUACCUGGUGUAGCGGUGGAAUGCGUAGAUAUCAGGUAGAACACCAAUGGCGAAGGCAGCUUGCUGGGGACUUAUUGACGCUGAGGCUCGAAAGUGUGGGUAGCAAACAGGAUUAGAUACCCUGGUAGUCCACGCUGUAAACGAUGGAUACUAGGUGUGGGAGGUAUCGACCCCUUCCGUGCCGCAGCAAACGCAAUAAGUAUCCCGCCUGGGGAGUACGGUCGCAAGGCUGAAACUCAAAGGAAUUGACGGGGGCCCGCACAAGCGGUGGAGCAUGUGGUUUAAUUCGAUGCAACGCGAAGAACCUUACCUAGACUUGACAUCUCCUGCAUUACUCUUAAUCGAGGAAGUCCCUUCGGGGACAGGAUGACAGGUGGUGCAUGGUUGUCGUCAGCUCGUGUCGUGAGAUGUUGGGUUAAGUCCCGCAACGAGCGCAACCCUUAUUGUUAGCUGCCAUCAUUAAGUUGGGCACUCUAGCGAGACUGCCCGGGUUAACCGGGAGGAAGGUGGGGAUGACGUCAAAUCAUCAUGCCCCUUAUGUCUAGGGCUACACACGUGCUACAAUGGUCGGUACAAUAAGACGCAAGCCUGCGAGGGGGAGCAAAACUGGAAAACCGAUCUCAGUUCGGAUUGUAGGCUGAAACUCGCCUACAUGAAGCUGGAGUUGCUAGUAAUCGCGAAUCAGCAUGUCGCGGUGAAUACGUUCCCGGGCCUUGUACACACCGCCCGUCAAG